CCAAUAGCGUAUAUUAAAGUUGUUGCAGUUAAAAAGCUCGUAGUUGAAUUUUGGGUUUGGCCGAUUGGUCCGUUCUUGUAACGAGUACUGGUCGGUCGGGCCUCACCGCCUGGUGAUACGUAAUGCCCUUUAUUGGGUGUUGCGAGUAGCCAGGACCUUUACCUUGAAAAAAUUAGAGUGUUUAAAGCAGGCUUAUGCCGGAAUACAUUAGCAUGGAAUAAUAGAAUAGGACGAUGAUUCUAUUUUGUUGGUUUCUAGGAGCAUCGUAAUGAUUAAUAGGGAUAGUUGGGGGCAUUAGUAUUCAAUUGUCAGAGGUGAAAUUCUUGGAUUUAUUGAAGACUAACUACUGCGAAAGCAUUUGCCAAGGAUGUUUUCAUUAAUCAAGAACGAAAGUUAGGGGAUCGAAGACGAUCAGAUACCGUCGUAGUCUUAACCAUAAACUAUGCCGACUAGGGAUCGGGCGAUGUUGUUUCAAUGACUCGCUCGGCACCUUAUG
rnacentral:rRNA from 1 species